UUAUUUGCUCAAAGCUUGCCAUACACUUGAAAUCAAAAGUUCCUAAAAUGAAGACUACUGCCUUUGCUUUUGUACUCAUGUUUGCAGUUCUUGUUGGACUCUCUCAUGCUGCAUCUGAACCAGUAUCUUGUCGAUAUCCACCACCCAAUUAUGGUCACAUGUACACACCACUCCAAGAUGGCUAUGAGCAUAAUGCUAGAGUUACUGUUGGUGAACCACCAAUGAAGGUUUAUGUUUGCUACAAUGGCCAGUGGUUUGAUUAAAAUUUUGCAAGUCCAAAAGAAAGAAAAUGAACACUAUCAUACUUAACUGUAGUGUAGAUAUAAUUUCAUUUUGCUGCCCUUUUUAUUUUGAAAUAAUUUCUUAAAAAAAUCAA